rnacentral:rRNA from 1 species
AGAGUUUGAUCAUGGCUCAGAAUGAACGUUGGCGGCAUGGAUUAGGCACGCAAGUCGCACGAGAAGCCAACUAGCUUGCUAGGAAGCGGAAAGUGGCGAAAGGGAGAGUAACGCGUGGUUACUUGCCCUCGAGACCGGGAUAGCGUCGGGAAACUGACAGUAAUACCGGAUAACAUCUACGGAUCAAAUGGUGUGAUUCCGCUCGAGGAUAGGACCGCGUACUAUUACGCUUGUUGGUAAGGUAAUGGCUUACCAAGGCUUCGAUGGUUACCGGGUGUGAGAGCAUGACCCGGCUCACUGGGACUGAGACACUGCCCAGACAUCUACGGAUGGCUGCAGUCGAGAAUCUUCGGCAAUGGGCGAAAGCCUGACCGAGCGAUGCCGCGUGCGGGAUGAAGGCCCUCGGAUUGUAAACCGCUGUCAGUUGGGAGGAAGUGCCGGUGGGUCAUCCCAUCGGUUUGACCAAUCUUCAGAGGAAGGACGGGCUAAGUUCGUGCCAGCAGCCGCGGUAACACGAACCGUCCAAACGUUAUUCGGUAUCACUGGGCUUAAAGCGUGCGUAGGCGGCCUGGAAGGUGAGAUGUGAAAUCCCACGGCUCAACCGUGGAAUUGCGUUUCAAACCAUCAGGCUUGAGAAAGACAGGGGUGAUCGGAACUUAUGGUGGAGCGGUGAAAUGCGUUGAUAUCAUAGGGAACACCGGUGGCGAAAGCGGAUCACUGGGUCUUUUCUGACGCUGAGGCACGAAAGCUAGGGUAGCGAACGGGAUUAGAUACCCCGGUAGUCCUAGCCGUAAACGAUGAGCACUAGGCUGAGGGAACUUCCACAUUCUCUCGGCCGUAGCGAGAGCAUUAAGUGCUCCGCCUGGGGAGUAUGGUCGC